rnacentral:rRNA from 1 species
UACGUAGGGCGCAAGCGUUGUCCGGAAUUAUUGGGCGUAAAGAGCUCGUAGGCGGCUUGUCACGUCGGGUGUGAAAGCCCGGGGCUUAACCCCGGGUCUGCAUUCGAUACGGGCAGGCUAGAGUGUGGUAGGGGAGAUCGGAAUUCCUGGUGUAGCGGUGAAAUGCGCAGAUAUCAGGAGGAACACCGGUGGCGAAGGCGGCCUACUGGGCCGGACCUGACGCUGAGACGCGAAGGCGUGGGGAGCGAACGGG